rnacentral:tRNA from 1 species
GGGGAUUUAGCUCAGCAGCAUAAGCACCUGCCUUGUAAGCAUGCGGUUGUGAGUUCAAUCCCCA